rnacentral:rRNA from 1 species
UACGUAGGUGACAAGCGUUGUCCGGAUUUACUGGGCGUAAAGAGCGCGCAGGCGGUCGAUCAAGUCGAGUGUGAAAGCCCCCGGCUCAACUGGGGAGGGUCAUUCGAUACUGAUCGACUCGAAGGCAGGAGAGGGUAGUGGAAUUCCCGGUGUAGUGGUGAAAUGCGUAGAUAUCGGGAGGAACAUCAGUGGCGAAGGCGGCCCUCUGGUCCAGUACUGACACUCAAGUGCGAAAGCGUGGGGAGCAAACAGG